rnacentral:rRNA from 1 species
ACCUACGGGAGGCAGCAGUAGGGAAUAUUGCAAAAUGGGCGCAAGCCCGAUGCAGCAACGCCGCGUGCGCGAUGAAGGCCUUCGGGUUGUAAAGCGCUUUUCGAGGGGAUGAGGAAGGACAGUACCCUCGGAAUAAGUCUCGGCUAACUACGUGCCAGCAGCCGCGGUAAAACGUAGGAGGCGAGCGUUAUCCGGAUUUACUGGGCGUAAAGCGCGUGCAGGCGGACGGGUAAGUUGGAUGUGAAAGCUCCCGGCUCAACUGGGAGAGGUCGUUCAAGACUGCCCGACUAGAGGAUGGUAGAGGGAGGUGGAAUUCCGGGUGUAGUGGUGAAAUGCGUAGAUAUCCGGAGGAACACCAGUGGCGAAAGCGGCCUCCUGGACCAUUUCUGACGCUCAGACGCGAAAGCUAGGGUAGCAAACGGGAUUAGAUACCCCGGUAGG